UACGGAGGGUGCAAGCGUUAUCCGGAUUCACUGGGUUUAAAGGGUGCGUAGGCGGCCUGGUAAGUCAGUGGUGAAAUCUCCUCGCUUAACGAGGAAACUGCCAUUGAUACUGCUAGGCUUGAGUACAGAUGCUGUGGGCGGAAUAUGACAUGUAGUGGUGAAAUACAUAGAGAUGUCAUAGAACACCGAUUGCGAAGGCAGCUCACAAAACUGUAACUGACGCUGAGGCACGAAAGUGCGGGGAUCAAACAGG
rnacentral:rRNA from 1 species